rnacentral:rRNA from 1 species
UACGUAGGGUGCAGGCGUUAAUCGGAAUUACUGGGCGUAAAGCGUGCGCAGGCGGUCUGCUAAGACAGGUGUGAAAUCCCCGGGCUUAACCUGGGAACUGCGCUUGUUACUGGCAGGCUGGAGUGUGGCAGAGGGGGGUGGAAUUCCACGUGUAGCAGUGAAAUGCGUAGAUAUGUGGAGGAAUACCGAUGGCGAAGGCAGCCCCCUGGGAUAACACUGACGCUCAUGCACGAAAGCGUGGGGAGCAAACAGG